rnacentral:lncRNA from 1 species
GGUUCCCGCCUGCGCCUCUCCCUCCACACCGCCUUGCAAGCUGAGGGAGCCGGCUCCGGCCUCUGCCAGCCCAGGAAGGGGCUCCCACAGUGCAGCGGCGGGCUGAAGGACUCCUCAAGUGCCACCAAAGUGGGAGCCCAGGCAGAGGAGGCGCCGAGAGCGAGCGAGGGCUGCCUGCCAGCACGCUGUCACGUCUCAGCAAUAGACUGCUCUUGAGGCUGGAGUGCAAUGUUGUUAUCAUAGCUCACUGCAACCUGGAACCCCUAGUCUCAAGAGAUCCUCCAGCCUCAGCCUCCCUGUUCCAGGAUACAUGUGCAGGAUGUGCAAGUUUGCUACAUGGGUAAAUAUGUGCCAUGGCAGUUUGCUGCAUCUAUUAACCCAUUACCUAGGUAUUAAGCCCGAUGGAGUCUCUGUCGCCCAGACUGGAGUAAGGUAGCACGACCUCGGCUCACUGCAACCUCCACCUCCCAGGUUCAAGCGAUUCUCCUGCCUCAGCCUCCUGAAGAGCUGGGAUUACAGGCUCUGCCACUACACCCGGCUAAUUUUUGUAUUUUUAGUGGAGGUGGAGUUUCACCAUGUUGGCCAGGCUGGUCUUGAACUCCUUACAUCAGGCAAUGGACUGCUCUGUGGAGCACACAAUUAUCUAAACUCCAUGCUCAGCCCUAGAUUGGAGGAACAAGCUGGACAGAGCCAGACUUUGCAGGCUCAGCUAAAAUGUCUAACAAUGGCAAGCAGAGACACAAGCUUCGAGGAGUGGUUUAGCAGUCGGCCACCAAGGAUCCAGAGAUAUACCUGGGUGUAAAAUGAAGAAACCUCUGCUGCCCAAGUUAUUUGCAUGGGGAAAGAGGGGCAACCUAAAUUCCUAAUCUAGACGAAUGGAUGCUCCAAAUGCCAGGAGAUAUGUGCAGGUGUGAAGAGGAGAGAGCUGCUAUAUCAAAUUGUUCACAUCAAAAGAGAGGGGGUGGCACAGGCUUCUAAUCUAGGAAAGAAAAGGCAUGCUUCUAAAAAUAAUACAAGGAGAGGAACUAGAAACUGAGGCUAUUAUCGGAAAAUGGAUACAUAUAGUCAUGAUGCCAAGUACCAGUUGUUUUGCCAAAAUGGUUUUGCAUGAUGCAUGAUGUUUCAUCCUGGAACGAUUUCUUUUUAUUAGGUAUGUGGCAGACUGCAGAGUGAAUUAAUUUAGCUGGAGAAGUGCUAAAAGAAUUUUACAGCUGCCAGGAGGAGAACAUGAAGAUAUAACUAAUGAAAUUGCUUGGCUCCACCUAUAUUACAUGAAAGUUUGUGGCUGAGAUUGAAGAAAAGCCAAAGUUAAAAGGGUGGAAUACUGGACUUAAUUAUUUUAAUUAUUAUUACCAACUUAAAUUUUUUCCUAGUAAUCUGACAAAAAGCUCAUUUGAUAAUAUAAUUUGCAUACUUAAUAUUGCCAUUUGAAUUGAUUGUACAAAAUCUACUUUAAAAAAUUGGAUAAUAUCACCAAAGUUUAACUAAGAAAUAGAGUAGAAAUAGAAUUGUUGGCCUAGGCUAAAAAGUGGCCUUAAUAUUUCUUUAAUGAUUAUUCUAUUUUCAGUCAUUUAUUAUCUUUAAGUAAGACAUGUUUUACAGUCCUAGGAAGAGGUAGUGGUUGCUAUUGGACUCCUGACCUCAGGAAAGCAGAGUAAGUCUAUGCUGGUAAAGUCUUGGUCUCUUCCUCAUGAGGCAAACAAACACACACAUUGUUGACGACAGCCUUAGUUAUUCACCUGAACAGGUUUUGAAUAAAAAUUUAUGGAGAAACAUUAUCUCAUUGCUCCUAAUAUUUUAAGGAUGAAAGAGCGCAAUAAUAAAGCAUUAUGAAAAAUCCACCCUAACUCUGCAUUAUAUUUUUCUCAAAAGAAAGACUGUGAUUAAUUCUGUUGAUACAAUUAUAGGAAGUCUGAAAAUCAUUUGGCCGCAUUGUGUAUAGAAAAGGAGAAUUUACAUUUCAACCUCUCAUGCUUUGGAUCUAUGUAUCUUUUGGCUUUUUGGACCAGCUAAGCAUAUCCUAAUUUAUCUCCAUUCUGUUGCAAAUGUUUUUACAAUGUUUUACAUGGCUGCCCCCAUGAGCUUGGAAUAAUUAUUGAUAGUUAUACACAUAUUUCCAAUUGCAGUUACAUUGAUACAAUACAUAGUUCAUGGAAAAAAUGAAGGAAGAUAGGAAGAAAGGAUGCAUGAGUAGUAUGUGAUUCUUAUAAGAAUAUUAGGAAAUGAACAUUAUUUCCCCUUUUUCCUAAAAUAUGCAGAAAGAUUUUUCAAUUGGCCUAUGACUAAACACAGUAAUGAUGAAACUAACAAGAUCUUAGAUAUUCUGAUUGUUAAUAUGGCAUCAAUCCAAUUAUACAGGUUACUUUACUUUUCAUAAUUUCCUGUCAUAGUUUAAUAAAUUAUUUUUUAUAAAUUAUAAUGCAAAAUUGAUAUAUUUCUUUAGUGAUUGAGAGUCUUCUCAAUAUACUUUCGACAUAUUAUAAAGUACCCAGUCUUAAUCAUGUCUUGCCUUCAGGUCUUUUUUCUUUUCUUGCAAAAAUACCAAUAUAAGCUAAAACCAUAACUAAUAGGAUAGUAAUGUAAUUUAAAAUAUGAUACAAAACAUGCACUCUCCUAUUUAUCUCUAGAGAUUGCUACAUAAACAAAUUCAGCAGAGUUUUUCAUUUCAUUUUUUAUAAUAAAUGAUGAUGUGUGACAAUAUAGAAAGCAGUCUUAACUAGAUUUACACAUUUCAAAUUGAACUAGUUUUAAUUUCAUAUCUAAAAAGGGUUUCAAAUGGACAUCAUUUACAAGAAUUACUGGGUUAAUAUUCUCAGAGAUUUAAUUGUAAUGGAUUAUUACCUAGCUAUGAUUUAUCAUAAUGUGGAAAAAUAGAUUAAUUCAUAUGGUUUCUAAAAAGACUCAAUAUUAUGAUUAAAAGCAGUGACCUCAUUUUUUAUUAGUUUGAUACUGCCUGGGAAGAAUUCCUCACCUUAUAUGUUUGAGCUAGAAACGCAGUAGCUACUGCAGCAUUUUCUGAGGGCCACAAUGGUCACUGUGCCAGAGGCUAUGUCCAGUGUCUGUUGAUGAUUGUGUGUGGGAUAUUGGCUAGAUCACCUUCUCUCUGGAAGAUUCUGUGUAGUGAUCAGAGCAGAAGACGUGGCUACUUAGCCUCUCUGGAUAAAUGCUUAUUUAUCAGAGUGGUUCUCCAGCCAUUUCAGUUAUUCAAUGAGCUCCUUGUACCUUUUAUCACGAAAUCCCUUUCCUGUUUAAUUCAAGCACAGCUGGGUUUUUGGAACAGUGUAUUAUUUCCUAGGGCUGCCACCACAAAUUGUUACACACUAGGUAGCUUAAUAUGACAAAUUUAUUAUCUCAGAGUUCUGAAAACCAUAAGUCCCCAAAUCAAGGUUUUGGUGGGGCUGUGCUCCCUCUGAAGGCUCUAGGGGAGGAUUCUGCCUACCUCUCCCAGCUCGCGGUGGCUCCCGGCACUCCUCACUUCCCUGGCUGCAUCCCUCAAAACUCUGCAGUCACGCUGCCUCCUCCUCUUCAUUGUCUGUGUCUUCUUUCUCUUGUAAGGGGAGUUGUCAUUGGAUUGAGGGUUUACUCAAAUAAUACAAAAGAUCUCAUUUUAAGACCCUUAAUUGCAUUUACAAAGACCAUUUUCUCAUAGAAAUUCACACUCACAGUUUUCCAAGGGCCAGGAUGUGGACAUAUAUUUUUGGGGGGCCACCCCUUGACCCACUCCAGAAGUGUCCGUGGAUUGACACUUUACAGAAUUCUCAUUUUAUUUAAUCUAGUUUGUAUCGUCAUUGAAAAGUUGUAUCUUGUUUCUGAGCUAAAACACCCUCUAGUCCACCUUUUCACAGUCUAAAUUCAGGAAUAAAGGGUAAUAAAUAUUAAGGAAACACUCGUCUUCAAAAUAGCUGACUCCCUCAGCCCAUCAUCUGUCAGUCUACUUUAAGCACUGCCUGAUAGACAUGAGUAGGCUCACGUCACGUUGGGGGUUUUACAAGAACAUUAACUAUCUUGUACUAGAAAUGGGCUAAUCAGCUGUCACCUGUAUGGCAGUUCAGACAAGUGCAAGUACUUCCUUUGAGUUAUGAUCUUGUAAAAAUGAGAGUUUAUAACUGAAAAGCUGGUCACUGUGACAUGCAAUUCUGAAAGACUGUUUAACAUUUCUGGAGACAACAUAGUUUGUAAAUAAGGGGCAUUUAUUACUACAGACAGCCUCGGGGUACACAUUCAUUAUCCACUGACAAGUACAGAUACAAACGCAAAGGCUUAAUUCAUUAGCAUGUAGGUAACAUGUUAUAUUUAAAAUUAGGGUAAAUGGAAAUAUAUUUCAUAAAGAUACAAUGAUUUAAUUAAUUCAAUUACUUUUUAACUUAGAAUAUGAUUUUAGAUAGAAAAAGUCUGCAGAUGUGUAACUUGCUUUCCAUAGUCAAAGAUUUUAAAUUGUUUGGCUUACUUCAAAAGAGAGGUACUUAUGUCAAUCAGCACUGAUUUAGAUUGAUGUAUUUAUAGCUUAAUAAAUGUUCACACUUUUUAAAAAUAAAUUUCUAACAUGAAAAAUCCUAUAUGGUAUAGUAAACCCAAAUUUUGUUGGAGUAGAUUUUUUUUCUCUAGCUCAUUUAAUGUCACAUUGUUUGACAUUACAAAAAGUUCCUGAAUGAUUUGUGUGUUUUAAAGAAACUAUUAACAUCAUUCCUUUUCUACUCAGUUUUCAUACACUCAGUAUUUAUUUUCAACUGAUGUAAAAAUUUGAAAUCAUUUAUGAAUAUAAAAAUAUUACAUAUUAUAAUUAUAGCUUUACAUAUGUUUUUUCAAUCAAUCAAUCAAUAAGUACUUUUUCAUAGCUAAAUUAGAGAGUGGCAUCCUUUGAAGUGCUGUGAAAACUGAACAGAAUUAAAAAGAAAACAUCCCUGCCCUCAAGUAGCUUACAUUCUGGAACGGAGAGACAUAUGCUAAACCCAAAACUUUAAAAUAUAUAAUAUGUUACAUAGUUAUAAGUACUAGGAUGAAAUGGAAAAAGGCAACAGAAAGGGCAGUAGGUGUGGAGGAUAAUUUUAAAUUUAAAUAACUCAGAGUGCACUGGCAUAACUGAGAAGGUUCUUCUGAGCAAAGACUUGAGAGAAGUGAAAUAUUCAUUAUAUACAGAUAUCUGAGGAAGGCUUCUCCAGGCAAGGGGACUUGCAGUGCAAAGACCCUGAAAAACACAGUACUGCUUAGAAGUCAGUGGAAAGAAAUGAGGGACAACAAUGGCUGGAAUUAGAUGAGGGAAUGAUAGGAGAGGUAAGAUUACACUAGAAAGGGGAAGGACAGGGAUUACUACAAUAAUAGGGACUUCACUCUGAGUAAACUGGAAGGUCACUACACAUUCUGAACUGACAGAACCAAUGUAUAUUUUAUAGAAUUAUUCAAGCUGCGUAGGCAGUGGAUGAGGUUAAGGGUGGUGGAGUUAAAACAGGAAGACAGUGACAAAGUUAUUUCAAUUUUUCAAGUAAGAAAUAGUGGCAACAUUGAAUAGGGUAGUGACGACUGGCUGAUUAGAAGUGGCUGAAUUUCUGAACAUAUUUUGAAAGUAUUAUGUUGCCAAGAAAUUUAACUGGAAGACAGAUUGUGAGGUUUGAAGAGAAAAAAAUGAGGCCAAAGUGACUCAUAUAGUUGAGCCAAGCAACUGAAAGGCUGUUACUAUUUAUCAAUAAUGGAACGCCUAUAGAAGAACCAAGUGUAAGGAGUAAGGUUAUGUGCUCAGUUUAGAAAUAAAAGGUGUGUAUAUAUCCUUUGCAUCUGCCUUAACAGCACCUAUAUCUCUUUUUUUUCCUAUAUUUUAUUUUAUUUUAAGUUCUGGGAUACAUGUGCAGGCCGUGCAAGUUUGUCACAUAGGUAAAUGUGUGCCAUGGUGGUUUGCUGCACCCAUCAACCCAUCACCUAGGUAUUAAGCCUUGCAUGCAUUGGCUAUUUAUCCUGAGCUUUCCCUCACCCUGCACCCACAACAGGCCCUGGUGCGUGUUGUUCCCCUCCCAGUGUUCAUGUGUUCCCAUUGUUGAGCUCCUACUUAUAAGUGAGAACAUGUAGUAUUUGGUUGUCUGUUUCUGUGUUAGUUUGCUGAGGAUAAUGGUUUCCAGCUCCAUCCAUGUCCCUGCAAAGGAGAUUAUCUCAUUCCUUUUUAUGGCUGCAGAGUAUUCUGUGCCACAUUUUCUUUAUCUAGUCUAUCAUUGAUGGGCAUUUGGGUUGAUUCCAUGUCUUUGCUAUUGUGAAGAAUGCAGCAAUAUACGUACGCAUGCAUGUAUCUUUAUAAUAGAAUGAUUUAUAUUCCUUUGGGUGUAUACCCAGUAAUGGGAUUGCUGGGUUAAAUGGUAUUUCUGCUUCUAGAUUCUUAAGGAAUCACCACACUGUCUUCCACAAUGGUUGAACUAAUUUACACUUCCACUAACAGUGGAAAAGUGUUCCUAUUUCUCCACAGCCUCGACAACAUCUGCUGUUUCUUGACUUUUUAAUAAUUGCCAUUCUGGCUGGUGUGAGAUGAUAUCUCAUUGUGGUUUUGAUUUGCAUUUCCCUAAUGAUCAGUGAUGUUGAGCUUUUUUUCAUGUUUGUUGGUUGCAUAAAUGCCUUCUUUUAAAAGUGUCUGUUUGUGUCCUUUGCCUGAUUUUUGAUGGGGUUGUUUGGUUUAUUUUUGGAAAUUCGUUUAUGUUCCUUGUAGAUUCUGGAUAUUAGACCUUUGUUGGAUGGAUAGAUUGCAAAAAUUUUCUCCCAUUCCAUAGGUUUUCUGUUCAUUCUGAUGAUAGAUUCUUUCGCUGAACAGCACCUGUGUCUCUACUUCUACAUCUGUGUGUAAGUGUUUCUACAUAUAUGCAACUGUAUCUCCAACUCUUAUCACAAUAUCUGGAAUUAGUAGACAACCUGUAAAUAUUUGUUGAAUAAAUGUUGAGUACAUACACAUCACAUGCAAUUUGGUUGAUAUUACAGGUAGUGUGAAACAACAUAGCAUCCAAAUUUAAAAUUAGAUGUAAAAUAUGUCCUAUAUUCUUUCAGAAACAUAAUUUUAAUGGUUGUCAAUAUAUAUGUACAAAUAUUCUAAGUAAUUGACAAAGCAUUUAAUUGGUAUCUACUGAGAUAGGAUAUCUGCAUCCCAGGUCAUUUUUCUUAUUAAGUGAAUGAACUAAAUAAAAUUAUUUAAUCUUUUUAAGAUACAACUUUCUUAUUUCUGAAAUGUGAUACUGUCACAUUUUUCUGAGAUUAGAAUAUGUAUAUAAUAAACAUCUGAACACAGCAGGCAACAAAUGAAUUACAGAUGUUAUUAAAAUGUGUAUCAUUUGAAGUAUGUUAAAAUUACAUUAAUUCAAUAAAACUUGUGGAAUUGCUGGGUCAGUAAUAUAUGUAUUAAUCUGGGGAAAAACAAAUAUAAAAUAUAGUAGAAAAAUGUAUACUGUAGAAAUAAUGUAUAUUAAAAACAUAAAGUCAACUGUAGUAUAUGUAUAUGUAGCAUAGUAUAUAAUGCGUGUAUAUAUAGAGUGUUUUAUGUAUAUGUUACAAUGUAUAUAGUAUAUAUAUAGCAUAGUAUAUACAGUAUAUGAAAACAGUGUGUAUAUAGUAGAAAAAUGUAUAUUGAAUUGAAAAUACUUGAUCUUAAUUAGUUACAAAAUUGCCUAAAAACAAUGCAAUUGUGGGACAAACAAAUCAUAUGCUAUUACAGACCAUGUUCCAGACUUCAAUUAUAAGACACUGAAACCUACCUCAAAUUUGUCCCUGUUUGUAGGGGGUAUGAAUCAUAAAUGAAUAAAAAUUGUAUAGAAACAAUAUGCCAACUAUUUAGCAAUUAAAUAGAAUAUGUCUCGGUUACCUUGCAAUGUAAAGAUGAAAAUACUUUGUAUUAGAUUAUUCCAUAUAUGAUUUGAUUAAAUCAUUCUAACAACACUUGCUCUAGUUGGUCUGAACUUGUUUAAUUUUGUAUUAAAGCAAAUGCUGCAGAAUAAAGUUCAAAUGCGGGCCUUGAAAGCAGUUUCUCUGUGUAGACAUUUAACUUAUUUUUGUGAUAAUUUUUAACUAAAUUAUUUUUUAAAGCUUCACUAUAACCUGUUCAGGCAAUCAUCUCUAAUGGAAUGACAUCAAUAUUAAAAGGUCAAUACUUUUAAUGCAUUAAAUUACAGGUACCAGAAAGUCAAAACAUAAAUCACUAUAUAUAAUAUAUAUAUAUAUCAAUAUAUCUCUAUCUAUUUCUACAUAUAUAUUUUUUCCUGACUACUUAGUAUACUUGACCAUUUGUGAAUCAUAUAUCUUUAUUAAAUAUAAUCUAGGUACUUGAACUUAUUUUAAAUAUAAUUAGAAGAGUGAUGUCAGCAACAUGACUGAUAAGAGGUGUCUGGCUCUUUUCCUUCCACCAAAAAACAAAUAAAUUUUAAAAACCACCAUUGAAUAAACAAAUACAUUUCAACUAGAUUGUCUGAAAGAAAGUCCUAGAGGACAAGGGAGUGUUGACCCUGUGAGUCAAGAAAAGCCAGGAUGGCGGCAUAAAGAGGAGGGGAAAGAAUCCUGCCUCCGCCACUUUAUCUUCCCUGCUGGGAGGGGCUCAGGGCCAGGAGGAGCUUCUCCUGCAGAAGAGUAUAGGCAUCAGGCCCCUAGAAUUCCCCAUUGCUGUGGCAGACAUCUGCAUCCCUUGCUACAGGAGAAUCCCAUAGGCGCUGAGCUCAGUUUAGUGAGCUGGCUGCAGUUCACAGGGCUACAUUGCUACAGGGUAGGAGCCCACAUCUUGCACUCUGCACCACCGUGACCCAAACUGCUAUGGCAUGGCCUUAUUUUGAAACUGAAACCACUGAUAGAAUGCAGCCUGCUAUGAGGGCCAAAAGCCACUGCAGCUCUCCAUCCUCAAGGCUCCACUGUUAUUCUACCAGACUCAUGCAUGUGAAUGAAGAACCACGAAUGCAGAUGUUCUGAGCCUAGGCCUAGCUGAACUGCAGUGAUUCUGGCAACAGAGCCCACAUGGCACCUUACCUCCCCAAAGAAGGCAGUCUUGCACAGCAGGGAAGUUGACCCCGGACAGGAAACUCAUCAUAUGCAUGUACAUUCAGCCUAAAAACCAGCAGGAAGACCCUGCCUCCAGCAAGGCAGCACUGCUGCAGACACAAAAUCCUGCAACUUAGACCACUAAGGCACUCCCAGGCAUUGCUUAUCUGGAUUACAGCUGAAGAAAUUAAAAGUAGGCUUAAAAAAAAGUAAAAUGGACAAAUCGGUAGUUAUAUUAACUAGGAGAAAAAGAGAUAAGACUCAAACAAAUAAAAUCAGAGAUAAAAGGAGAAAUUACAACCAAUAUCAUAGGACAAAGGAUCAUGAGAGACAAUUGUGAAGUUAUACCCAAAAAAUGGAAUAACCUAGAAGAAACAGAUGAAUUCCUGCACACAUACAAUCUGUCAAAAUUGAAUUAUGAAGAAAUAGAAAAUCUGAACAGACCAAUAACAAGUAAGGAAUUUGAAUCAAUAGUAAAAUUUCUCCUAUAAAAGAAAAGCCCAGCUACUGAGGACUUCACUGUUGAAUUCUACCUAAACUUUAAAGAACAAUUCAGACCAAUUCUUCUGAAACUAUUCCAGAAAAUUGAAGAAUAAGUAAUAUUUCCAAAAAUUCUACAAGGCUGUCUUCCCCUGAUACCAAAACCACAUAAGGACCCAAAUACAACAAAAAGAAAACCACAAGUUGAUAUCCCUGAUAAGCAUACAUGUAAAAAUUCUCAAAAUAUCACCAAACAGAAUUCAAUAGCACAUUAGGAAGAUCUUUCACAGUGGUCAGCUGGGGUUUAUCACAGGGAUGAAAGGAUGGAUUAAAAUAUAUAUAUUAAUAAAUGUUAUACAUCACAUUAGCAGAAAGAUGAGGGAAACCAUAUCAUCACGUCCAUAGAGGCAGAAAAAGCAUUUCACAGAACUCUGUAUCCUUUCAUGACAAAAACUAUCAACAAAUUAGGUAAAAACAGUACUUACCUCAACACAAUAAAGGCCAGCUAGCAUUAUGCUAAAUGACAAAAAGCUGAAACCGUUUUUGCUAAGAACUGGAACAAGACAGGGAUACCCACUCUCACCAACUGUAUUUAGCACAGUACUGGAAGUCGUAGCCAGAGAAAUUAAACAAUAAAAAAAAAUGAAAGAUGGGCAAAUUGGAAAAGAGGAAGACAAAUAGCCCCUGUUUGCAGAUGAGAUGAUCUCAUAUACAGAACACACUAAAGACUCCACCAAAACAGAACUAAUAAACAAAUUCAGUGAAGUUAUAGAAUGCAACAACAAGAUAUAAAAAUUAGUAACAUUUCUAUAUGCUAAUAGCGAAAUAUUUAAAAAGAAAGCAAUAAGCAAUAUAAUUCACAAUAGCUACUAAAAAAAAAAAACCUUGAUGUAGAUUUAACCAAGGAGGUAAAAGAUGACUACAAUGAAAACUAUAAAACAUUGAUAAAAGUAAUUGAAGAAAAUAUAGAUAAAUGGAAAGAUAUUCUGUAUUCAUGGAUCAGAAUUACAUUGUUAAAAUGUCCAUACUACCCAAAGCAAUCUACAAAUUCAAUACAAUCUCCGUGAAAAUAUCAAUGAUAUUCUUCACAGACACACAGAAAACAAUCAUAAAAAUAGAAAGCAAAAUCUUAAUACGGAAUCACAAAAGACACUGAAUAGCCAAAGCAAUUUUGAAAAAAAAAAAAAAAGAGAGAGAGAGAGAAGACAAAGCUGGAGAUAUCCCUUUACCUAGCCAACAAAAGUUGGAGACAUCAUGCUACCAAAACAGCAUGGUAUUAGUGUCAAAACGGAAACAGACCAACAGGACACAAUAGAGGGCUCAGAAAUAAAUCCAUGCAUCUACAGCCAACAGAUUUUCAACAAAAAUGUCAAUAACACACAUUGGCAAAAGGACAGUAUCUUCAGUAAAUGGUGUUCAGAAAAUUAGGUAUCUGUAUGCAGAAGAAUAAAAGUUAACCCCUAUUUUUAACCAUAUACAAAGUUCAACUCUAAAUUGAUUUAAUAUUCUAUUUAAGACCCAAAGCUAUGAAACUGCUAGAAGAAAACAUAGGGGAAAUGCUUCACAACACUGAACUGGGUAAGAACUUUUUGUAUAAAUACUCAAAAGCACAGAGAACAAAGGCAUAAAUAAACAAAUGAGAUUACAUGAAACUAGAAAGCUUAUUCACAACAAAGGAAACAAGCAACAGAGUGAAGAGAGAACCUCCAGAAUGAGAAAAAUAUUAGUAAGUUAUACAUCUGAUGUGGACUGGAUAUUCAGAAUACAUAACGAACACAAACAAGUAAAUAACCAAAAACCCCCACAAAUAAUGCAAUUAAAAAUGGGAAAAUAACCUUAAUAAACAUUUCUCAAAAGAAAACACACAAAAGACCAAAAAGAAUUUUAAAAAUGCUCAAUAUUAUCACUAAACAUCAGGGAAAUGCAGUUAUAGCCACAAUCUCACUCCAGGUGGAAUAGCUAUUAUCAAAAAGACAAAUGAUAACAAGUGUUGGUGAACAUGUAAAGAAAGACGAACUCUCACAUGCUGUUGGUGGAAAUGUAAAUUCAUACAGCUGUUAUAGAAACAGUAUAGAAGUUCCUCAAGAAUUAAAAUACUUCUACUACAUGAUUCAGCAAUUUCAUGGGUAUAUAUCCAAAGGAAAUGGGUAUAUAUCCAAAGGAAAUAAAAUCAGUAUGCUAAAGAGAUGUCUGCACUUGCUUAUUGAAGAACUCUUCACAAUAGCCAAGGUAUGAGUCAGCCUACAUGUUCAACAAAGAUUGAAUUGAUAAAGAAAAUGUCAUGUGUAAUGGGAUACUAUUUAGUCAUAAAAAGAAGAGAAUCCUGUCAUUUGUGACAAAAUAGAUGAACCUGGAAGAUGUUAUAUUAAGUGAAAUACGUCAGGAGCAGAAAGACAAAUACUGCACUAUCUCACUCAUAUAUGGAAUCUAAAAAUGUUGAUCUCAUUGAAGUAGUCAAUAGAAUAGUGGUUAUAAGAGACUGGGGAGGAGAGGGUGAUAGAAGGACGGAAAGAGGCUUGUCAGUGAGUACAAAGCUACAAUUAGAAAGUAAAAAUAAAUUCUGAUGUUCUAUUGCACAGUAGGAUGACUGUAGUCAAUAAUAAGGUAUUGUAUAUCUCGGAAUACCUAGAAGAGACAAUUUUGAAUGUUCUUACCACACAAAACUGAUGAAUGUUCAAAGUGAUGAAUAUAUUUAGUAUUCUGAUUUGAAACGUAUUAAAACAUCAUAUUGUACCCCAUAAAUAUGUGCAAUUAUUAUAUGUCAGGUAAAAAUCAAAAUAAUUUAAAAGAAGAGCAUAAAUCCAUACUUACUACAUCAUUAAAAUAAGAUUAAUAUCAAUUUUCGUUCUGAUUAAAUUUUAUGAUCAUCUUAGAAUAUUGCUAUUUAUGAAAAUAUGGUUUAUUUUAUGACUGCAUGUUAAAGAAAAAAAAAACUCCCAUUUCAAUACCAGAAUCCUGAAUUCUGCUGCCCAGAGUUAUUACCACAAGCUAGAAUUUGAGCCUCAACUCUUCUCCAUUUGAUUAACUUUAGGUUGAUAUAAAUACCCUAAAAUUAUAUGCUUUUUAACUUUGGAAGAUAAAAUAAACAGCUGUUGGAGCUUACCAACUGGUGAGAGGGUAUGUAUUCUCUCCAAAGAACCUUCAAAAGACAGUCACCUCACAUCUUCUCACUUCAAUGAUAAAUACAAUCAUCCAGGUCUGUGAGCUUGCUGUUUGUGGUAGACAGAAUUCUGAGAUGGUCCCCAGGAUUUCUGCCUUUUUUUAUACACCCUCCCCUUGAGUGUGAGUAUGGCAUGUAAAUAUGAUGUGUUAUUACUCCUAUGAUUAGGUUACUAACCAGUUGACUUGGUAUGAACUAAUAUGGAGGUUAUCCUGGGUAGGCUUGACCUAAUUAGGAGAGGUCUUUGAAAAGGGUGCAGUGAGUCAGACAGACUGACCUCCUGCCCUCUAAGAAAGGUGAAACAUACAAUCAUGUAUUGAGCUGCCUAGGGAGAAGAGCAUCUUCAAAGAGUUGAGGUCCUAAAGCUGCAGGAACUGAAUUCUACCCAUAGCUUGAAUGUAAUUGGAAGAAGACUGCAAGAAUCAGAUGAGACUCCCAGCCUAGCUUCCAUCUUGACUGUAGCAUGUAAAACCUCAAAAACCCCUCCUGAGUGCAGCCUAGGCUGUCGACCUGAAAUAUAGUAAGAUAAUAAAUAAUGGUUGUUUUAAUCUGCUAAAUUUGUGAUAAUUCGCUACAUAGCAAAUAAAAAUUAUACAGUGUUCUGAUAGACUAAAAACGUAUAAGAUUAAAGUUACAUGAUUUUCCCUUAAGAAAAUAGCUCAUUUUAUGAUGAGUUCCUCUCUGGGAACCCUAGCAUAAUCUCUACAACCUUGCUGGCUAUCAGAGAAUAAAUAUAUUCAAUAGCCCAGGAGACAUUUAAUAAAUAGUAACAAGUAGAGGCCCUACUGACCCAUAUGACAUCUUUAUUGGUAUUGGGAAAAGGUGCUGUAGCCUCAAGCUACUGUAUUUCCAACUGGGGAGAAAAUGUCAAAACAAAUAGAAUAUAUGCAACAUUUAAAAUUUGAAUGACUUCUUUUAGGGUUAUGAAAUACCCAGCCUGCACAACUUUAUGCAAGUUAAUUGAAUGUUGGCAUAAAAAAUGACAAAAUAAACAACCCAUGCCUUCUAGAACAAUCAGCAGUGAAUAACAUUUUGGUAAUAAUUAUUAUUACAUUAUUUAAAGAGUUCACUUAAUAGUUUAGUGUGCUUGAAUUAUUUUUAGAAUGUAUUUGUUGUUUGUGGUGAGUACAGUCUGUGCCUUGACACAUCCCAUUAAUGAGUCUGGGAUACUCAUUCUCUAGCUAACAUGAAUGUCACACCUCAAAGCUGCCCCCUUCAUAUGGUUUGGCUGAGUCCUCACCCAAAUCUCAUCUUGAACUGUAAUAAUUCCCAUGUGUCAAGGGCAGGUCCAGGUGGAGGUUACUGAAUCAUGGGGGCAGUUUCCCCCAUGCUGUUCUCAUGGUAGUGAAUAAGUAUCAUGAGAUCUGAUGGUUUUAUAAAUGAGAGUUCCCCUGCACAAGCUCUUGCCUGUAGCUAAGUAAGAUGUGCCUUUUGCCUUUCCCAAUGAUUGUGAGGCCUCCCCAGCCAUGUGGAAUUGUGAGUCCAUUAAACCUCCUUCCUUUGUAAAUUACCCAGUCUCAGCUCAGGUAUGUCUUUAUUAGCAGUGUGAAAACAAACUAAUGCACUCCUUUUCUGGAGAACUGCCUGCAAGUGUCAGAAGCCUUUGUUGUGGAAUGACAAAAUCUAGCUAACUAGCAUAUGCAUUACUCACAUAGUUAUUAUUUUUGUGGUGAGAACACUUAAUAUCCAUUCUCUUAGCCUUUUUUCAGAAUUCAUUAACACUGUAAGAAUAUAUUAUUAACCGUCAUCACCAGGUUAUACAGUAGGUCUCUUCAACUUUUUCUACCUGUCUGAUGGAAAUUUGGUAUCCUUUGACUAACAUUUCUCCAAUGCACCCCCAUCAACCACCACACCCCUGAUAAUCACCAUACUACUCUCUACUUCAGAACAUCAUGUUGUACUCGAUAAAUAUAUAUAAUUUAUCUGUCAAUGUAAAAAAUAAGAUAAUCAUUUUUAAAAAGUAAAAGAGGCCUUCACAGUAAAGUUUGGCAUUCUUCUCCAGCUGUCCAAUGCUAACAAACAACUGAAACACGGCAAAGACUGGCUCCUUGGACUUGACUCAGGACCAGUUUUGGUGUACUUUCCACUCCAGAGUCCCUUUACGGUUAGGCAGAAGCUAGUCCCUAGCCAAGACCACACACUUGCUUAUUUGUUUCCCUGACCAAUCUUUUGUAUUUCACUCGCUUCCUUCCUCAAUAAAUCACUUGAACAAGAACUUCCUUGCCAUCUCAGGUUCUAAUACAACCCCCUGUGUAUUACGCUUUACAACACAGGCUUCAUGUGAUGUAAAGAAAUUAGCUAUCAGUAUACCCUAAAGAAGCUAAUAAAACCCAGAGACCAGGUCAUCUCACACACGGCCUAUUUCAAAGCCCUAAAGGAGUCUUAGACUGGUGCUCACACAGUUGCAUAGUUUAUAAAAUGUUCAAAGUUAAAUAUUUUGUGUUGUUUUCUUACAAGAGGAUCCCUAAAACAGGAUUCAGGCCCCUCAAAAUCCCCUUCUCCCUUGGAAGAAAUUCAUCUUUUGUUCUUCUAAUUGCACAUGUUAUCUGCCUAACUUUCAGAACUACAUUAAUAACAAUUAUAAUGUCAGAUUUAAAGAAAAAGGGAAUGUCAUGUUAGAAAGAUAACCUUCAGGGAACAUCACACACUGGGGCCUGUUGUGGGGUGGGGGGAGAGGGGAGGGGUAGCAUUAGGAGACAUACCUAAUGUUAAAUGACGAGUUAAUGGGUGCAGCAAACCUGCACGUUGUGCACAUGUACCCUAAAACUUAAAGUAUAAUAAAAAAUACAUACAUAAAUAAAAAUAAAUAAAUAAAUAAAAAAAGGAAAGAUAACCUUCAGAUUUACUCUUUCUGGGACUACUGGAAACCGAGUUAGUUAUUUUCAAUACAUGAGCAUUUAAAUAGAUUUUCUCUGUAAAAUGAUAUGUUUUAAUUGUCUUGUACCUGUGUUUCUGCAAGUUUCAGCACAGAAGUGCAACAACUGCUAUCAGAAUGCCAGAGGUUCAGUCUAGGUCCUAUUGCUCACCGCACAGAAGGCCAGUCAUUGAGAUGAGUAUUGCCAGGUAAGGCCACUUUAUUCCAGUGCUGCAUCCGAAGAGAAUGGGAGGCCAAGUCUCAGCUGUGUUUGGUCAACUGACUUAAAUUAGGAGUUUAUAUGACAGGGAAGAAAUGUAACUAACUACUUGUGGAAAAACAGGAAUUAGAAAGAGGUGAGGAAAAGUAGUUGGUAAGCAGGCAUCAGGUAGUCAGUUGGGCAAUCGUGAUGGGUGAGGGGUGUGGUAUCUCAUUGUCCAGAUGCCAUGAUCUGGUGAGUUUCCACUUCUUAAUACUAUCUGAGAGGGUUGAUGGUUGCUUUCCUGACCAAGGAACUCGGGUAAGACAAAUACGGGUUUUAAAAAUUUUAAGACUAAGAGGGUCAGUUUCCGUAUUUAUUCAAAAAAUUCAUAAAUAUUCAGUAUGUGGGGAAAAUUAGGCUGAUUUCACAAUUGCCCCCAAAAUUCCACCGUCUCAGGAAUAAUGAACAAGGAAGGCUGCAGGCAAGACAUUUUCAAGUUAAUGGUGAAAUUCCCAUUGCCUAUAUCUUAUGACUGUCUCAAAAGAAAAAAAAAAGAAAGAAAGAGAAAGAAAGAAAGAAGGAAAGAAAGAAAGAAGGGAAAGGAAAGAAAAGGAAAGGAGAAAAGAAAAGAAAAAAGAUGAGACUGCGUAAAGACUCAUGUGUUCUAUACUCAUCUGAGAUGAAGCUGCCCCAAAGAUCAAAUUCAGAAAUAAAAGACAUGCAACGUGCUUACUACAUUUGGGGUGAGAAAAAUACUAACAUUUGAAUAAUUUUAACUUUAUAUUUAAAACCUUCCACAUAGUGCUAUAUGGACAUUCCCUUCAAGCUGUAGGGGGAGGGGAAUUUGGCCCAACCUGUGUACAUGUCCCCUUCUCCCUCUCUGAUUUAAAGCAGAUCAAGGCAGACCUGGGGAAGUUUUCAGAUGAUACUGGUAGAUACGUAGAUGUUCUACAGGGCUUAGGACAAACCUCUGACCUCACUUGGAGAGACGUCAUGAUAUCAGAUCAAACCCUGGCCUUUAAUGAAAAGAACAUGGCUUUAGCUGCAGCCUGAGAGUUUGGAGAUACCUGGUAUCUUAGUCAAGUAAGUGAUAGAAUGAUGGCCGAAGCAAGGGACAAAUUCCCUACUGGUCAGCAAGCCAUCCCCAGUAUGGAUCCCCACUGGGAUCUCGACUCAGAUCAUGGGAAAUGGAGACGUAAAAAUCUGUUGACCAGUGUUCUAGAAGGACUAAGGAAAAUUAGGAAGAAGCCAUUGAAUUAUUCAAUGAUGUCCACCAUAACUCAGGGAAAGGAAGAAAAUCCUUCUGCCUUCCUCAAGUGGCUACGGGAGGCCUUAAGAAAAUAUACUCCCCUGUCGCCCGAGUCACUCCAGGGUCAAUUGAUUCUAAAAGAUAAGUUUAUUACCCAAUCAGCUGCAGAUAUCAGGAGAAAGCUCCAAAAGCGAGCCCUGGGCCCUGAACAAAACCUGGAGGCAUUAUUAAGCCUGGCAACCUUGGUGUUCUAUAAUAGGGACCAAGAGGAACACGCCCGAAAGGAAAAGCAAGAUCAGAGAAAGGCCACAGCCUUAGUCACGGCCCUCAGACACACAAACCUUGGUGGUUCAGAGAGGACAGAAAAUGGAGCAGACCAAUGACCCAGUAGGGCUUGUUAUCAGUGUGGUUUGCAAGGACAGUUUAAAAAAGAUUGUCCAACGAGAAACAAGUUGUCCCCUGGCCCAUGUCACUGUGCCAAGGCAAUCACUGGAAGGCACACUUCCCCAGAGGGCAAAUGUUCUCUGGGCCAGAAGCCCCGAAUCAGAUGAUCCAACAACAGGACUAAGGGUGCCUGGGGCAUGUGCCAGCUCAUGUCAUCACCCUCACUGAGCCCCGGGUAUGUGUAACCAUUGAGAGCCAGGAAAUUGACUUCCUCCUGGACACUGGCGUGGCUUUCUCAGUGUCAAUCUCCUGUCCCAGACAGCUGUCCUCAAGGGCCGUUACCCAUGCCUUUCUUGUUAUGCCUGAAAGUCCCAUACCCUUAUUAGGGAGGGCCAUAUUAGCCAAAGCUUGAGCUAUUAUCUACAUUAAUAUGGGGAACAAGUUACCCAUUUGUUGUCCCCUGCCUGAGGAGGGAAUCAACCCUGAAGUCUGGACAUUGGAAGGAACAAACUCAAGCUCCAGCCUUAAGCCUUCCCACAGGACAAAACUUCUCUUUAUACGUCACAGAGAGAGCAGGAAUAGCUCUUGGAGUCCUUACUCAGACUCGUGAGACACUCCACAACCAGUGGCAUACCUAAGUAAGGAAAUUGAUGUAGUAGCAAAAGGCUGGCCUCACUGUUUACAGGUAUUUGUGGCGGUGGCCAUCUUAGUGUCAGAGGCUAUCAAAAUAAUGCAAGGAAAGGAUCUAACUAUCUGGACUACUCAUGAUGUAAAUGGCAUACUAGGUGCCAAAGGAAGUUUGUGGCUAACAGACAACUGCCUGCUUAGAAACCAGGUGCUACUCCUUGAGGGAAUGGUGCUUCAAAUAUGUACAUGUGUGGCCUUCAACCCUGCCAGUUUUCUCCCAGAGGAUGGGGAACCAAUUGAGCAUGACUGCCAACAAAUUAUAGUCCAGACUUAUGCCACCCGAGAUGAUCUCUUAGAAGUACCCUUAGCUAAUCCUGACCUUAACCUAUAUACCAAUGGACCUUAACCUAUAUACCAAUGGAAGUUCAUUUGUGGAGAAUGGAAUAUGAAGGGCUGGUUAUGCCAUAGUUAGUGAUGUAACUAUACUUGAAAGUAAGCCUCUUCCCCCAGGGACCAGCGCCCAGUUAGCAGAACUAGUGGCACGUACCCAAGCCUUAGAACUGGGAAAGGGAAAAAGAAUAAAUGUGUAUACAGAUAGCAAGUAUGCUUAUCUAAUCCUAUAUGCCCAAGCUGCAAUAUGGAAAGAAAGGGAGUUCCAAACCUCUGGGGAACCCCCAUUAAAUACCACAAGGAAAUCAUGGAGUUACUGCACACAGUGCAAAAACCCGAGGAGGUGGCAGUCUUACACUGCCGAAGCCAUCAAAAAGGGGAAGGAGAGGGGAGAACAGCAGCAUAAGUGGCUGGCAGAGGCAGGGAAAGAUCAGCAGAAAGGAAAGAGAGAAAGAGAGAGACAGAAAGUCAGAGAGACAGGAAGAGACAGACAAAGAGGGAGUCAGAAACAGAAAAAGAAAGAGAGACAAAGAAGUCAAAGAGAAAGACAGAGAUAGAGGUAGUAAAGAAAAAAAGUGUACCUUAUUUCUUUAAAAGCCAGGGUAAAUUUAAAACCUAUAAUUGAUAAUGGAAGGUCUUCUCUGUAACCUUAUAACACUCAAAUCCCACCUUGUUGUCAGUGUAAACAAGGGCACAGCCCAAAAGCACUGAGUCCACUGACAAUCCAUAGCCUUCCUAUCAAAAAUCCUUAACCCAGCAGGUUUCUUAACAGGGGAUCUAAAUCUUAAUUAUCAUACAAAGGUCCGACCAGCUCUAGGAGGAAUCCCUUCAGGACAGGACAAUAGAUGGUUCCUCCCAGGUGAUUAAGGGAAAAAGACACAAUAGAUAUUCAGUAAGUGAUAAGGAAACUCUUACAGAAGCAGAGUUAGGAAAAUUGCCUAAUAAUUGGUCUGCUCAAACUUGCCAGUUGUUUGCAUUCAGCCAAAUCUUAAACUACUUACAGAAUCAGGAAAGAGCCAUCUAUACCAAUUCUAAGUUAUUAUGGACUGAAUGAGGUUUUAUUAAUAGCAAAGAAAAAUUAAAAUCCCAAACUUACAAGGUUUUCAACUAAAGUAAACGUCACUAAAAGUUAACAGUGGAACAUGUAUUAUCCUACUACCACACACUCAAAGGAUUUCUCAGACAGUUUGCAAGAAAUAACGAACUCUAUCCUUACUCUACAAUCCCAAAUAGACUGUUCGGCAGCAGUAACUCUCCAAAACCGCUGAGGCCUAGACCUCCUCACUGCUGAGAAAGGACUCUGCAGCUUCCUAGGGGAAGAGUGUUGUUUUUACACUAACCGGUCAGGGAUAGUACACAAUGCUGCCCGGCCGGUGUUUACAGGAAAAGGUUUCUGAAAUCAGACAAUGCCUUUCAAACUCUUACACCAACCUCUGGAGUUGGGCGACAUUGCUUCUCCCCUUUCUAGGUCCCAUGACAGCCAUCUUGCUAUUACUAUUAUUUUGUGUUUCUUUGCUUAGAAGUUCUUUAAGGUAAGCAGCUGCUGGAAGCAGAGCCAAUAACUGCUAGUAAUUCCAGUUGUUGGAACAGUAUACUUGUGCUAAAAUGCCAUAUUUCCAUCCCUGAAUACUACAUGUAAACUUUUUUUUUCAACUGUAGUCCAGCAUUUUACUUAUCCUCUUCUGUGCAUUCUUUAGCAGAGCCCUCUUUAAUUUAUCAUACAGCAUAUGCUCUGGCAAAUCCAAAUGAAUUCCAAAGAAAAUAGAUCCAGUAAUGGACCACAAACUCACUCCUUAAACUCUUUUUAGUGACACUAUGAUUUUGACCAUUUUAAGACAAUGACUUAGCCAUAGAUAAGAAACCUCAGCUGAUCUGUAGCUGCUGUACAGCAUUGAAUAAUAUACGAUGGAAUUAACCUGCAUGUCACAGUUUCUGGCCAAAGCUGCCAGAUUUUUUGCAGCAAACAUUUGGAAUCAGGCACACAUGCAUUUAAAUGUUUGAACUGUUGCUUAUUAAUUGGGAAAUUUGGAACCGUAAAUAAGUUGCAGCAUUUUCUGAUUUUGCAGCACGAUUAUCUGACUUCUGUAUGAUCUUUCAAGGUUAACUCAUGAAUAUGUUAGAACAUAUUCCAUGAUGUUUCAUGGCUCCCAGACAUAACUCUCAGUCUUAAAGGUAUUUCAAAUUGGAAACUAAAGCCUUUGCUUGUUUUUUCUCCUACUUGUAUUAAAUUCAGAUAUUAUAUUUCAUGUCUUCAAUGAUACUUUAGGCAGAAAUGCAAAUUAACUUGCCCUCUCUCUUUUUGUUACACAGGCCUAACAAAAUCUCAGCUUUGGAUGAACUUACCGGUUUGGUUUUAUCUAUAUAUAUGUUUAUACAGUUUUAUUUAAAUAGCUAUGCCCAAUCAAAAAAUGCCCACUGAUUACUGUUACCUGUUGUAUUACUCUGUUCUCAAUGCUGCCAUGAAGAAAUACCCGACUGAGUAAUUUAUAAAGAAAAGAGGUUAACUGACUCAGAGUUUCGCAAGGCUGGAGAGGCCUCAAGAAACACACAAUUAUGGCAGAAGGGGAAGCAAACACGUCCUUCUUCACAAGGCAGCAGGAAGGAGAAGUCCCAAGCAAAGGUGGGGAAAAGCCCUUUAUUAAACCAUCAGAUCUUGUGAGAACUCACUCACCAUCAUGAGAACAGCAUGAGGGAUAAUUUAGGGUAUCUGGUGGAAGAAAUUUCCAAGCAGCAAAGCAUUUUACUUAGGUGCUGUUAAAAUCAUUCAAUUUUAUGUAUUCACAAAGAUAUUGUUUGGAAUUGGAAUGUGUGUUUAAAAGGCAAGCAGAGCAUAAAAGUUUGGAAAAUUUGCAGCCUGACAAUGAGAUAGAAAAGAAAAACUCAUUUUCUGAGGUGAAAUUCAAGCUAGCCAUAGAAAUUUGCAUAAGUAACAAAUGUUAAUUGCCAAAACAAUGGGAAAAAUGUGUCCAGGGCAUGUCUUAAGUCUUCGUGGCAGCACCUCCCAUCACAGGCCCAGAGGUGUAGUAGGAAAAAAAUGGUUAGGUUGGUUGGUUCCAGAGCCUUGCUGCUUUUUGCAGUCUUGGGACUUGGUGCCUUGCAUCCCAACUGUGGCUAAAAGGGGACAAUGUAGAGCUCAUGCCAUUGCUUCAGAGGGCAAGCCCCAAGCCUUGGUGGCUUACACAUAGUGUUGAGUCUGUGGGUGCACAGAAGUCAAUAAUUGAGUUUUGGGAACCUCCACCUAGAUUUUAGAGGAUUUAUGGAAAUGCCUGGGUAACCAGACAAAAGUUUGCUGCAGGAGCUGAGCCCUCAUGUAGAGUCUCUGCUAUGGCAGUGUGGAAAGGAAAUGUGAGGUUGGAUACUCCACAUAGAGUCUCCACUGGAGCACUGCCUAGUGGAGCUGUGAGAAAAGGGCCACCAUCCUCCAAACACCAGAAUGGUAGAUCCACCAACAGCUUGCACUGUGCACCUGGAAAAGCCAUAGUUACUCAAUGCCAGCUUGUUAAAGCAGCCAGGAGUGGGGCUGUACCCUGCAAAGCCACAGGGGUGGAGCUGCCCAAGGCCAUGGGAGCCUACCUCUUGCAUCUGUGUGCCCUGGAUGUGAGACAUGGAGUCAAAGAAGAUCGUUCUGGAACUUUAAAGUUUAAUGACUGCCCUAUUGGAUUUUGGACUUGGAUGGGGCCUGUAGCCCCUUUGUUUUGGCCAGUUUCUCCCAUUUGAAAUAGAUGUAUUUACUCAAUGCCUGUACGCUCAUUGUACCUGUGAAGUAAUGAUCUUGCUUUUGAUUUUAUAGGCUCAUAGGCAGAAGGGACUUGCCUUGUCUCAGAUGAAACUUUGGGCUUGAACUUUUGAGUUAAUGCUGGAAUUAAUUAAGAUUUGGGGAACUGUUGGAAGGGCAUGAUUGUGUUUUGCAAUGUGAGAAGGACACGUGAUUUGGGAAUGGCUGGGGCAGAAUAGUGUGGUUUGGCUGUGUCGCCACCCAAAUCUCAUUUUGAAUUGUAGUUCCCAUAAUCCCCACAUGUCGUGGGAGGCACCCAGUGGGAGGUAGUUAAAUCAGGGGGGCUGUUGCCCUUACGCUGUUCUCAUGAUAGUGAGUGAGUUCUCCCAAGAUCGGAUUGUUUUACAAGGGGCUUUUCCCCUCCUUUUGCUCGAAUUUUUCUUUUCCCUACCAUCCUGUGAAGAAGGACAUGUUUGCUUCCCCUUGCCCCAUGAUUGUACGUUUCCUGAGGCUGCCUGAGCCAUAUUGCAUUGUGCAUCAACUAAACCUCUUUCCUUUAUAAAUUACCCAAUCUUGAAUAUAUCUUGAAUAUGUCCUUAUAGCAGCAUGAGAAUGGACUAUUACAGUAUUACAGUAGUUUGGGUUUUUGUUGUUGUUGUUGUAGUAGUUUUUAAUCACUAUCUCACUUUCUGUCAUUAUGAGAUACUCAAUGCUUAUUUUGUGUAUUUUCUGCCCUAAUCCUAGAAUCACCCAUUUCUAUAAGGAGCCCUCUUUUCUUUUAUUGGAGAAUGUUAUUCAAAAAAAAGACCUGAGCACUAGAUACGGUAGUUUCUCUCUGUAGCACUUUUCAUAGACUGCAGAUAUUUAUAUAACUAAUUAUUUAGUUUAAUUUUUAAAUAUAUCUUAACUACAUGAGAAACUAGCUUUGUACCAUCAGGAACCUCUAGUAGGGACGAUGGCAUAGACAUUACCUGUAAUGAUAUUUAAAAUUUAAGAUUGUGGUGUUUAUCUUAGAAUAUUUUCUUAACUAAAAAAUACAAUUAAUGAGUUAUGCAUUGGUAUUUAGUUGUGUGAUUAGUGCAAUGCUCUAUGUUAUAGUCUACAUAGCAAUGAUAGGUUUAAUUAAACAGAAGGUAAAAUGCUUAAUUUAUAAUAAUAUAAUAUAAAACCACAAAUAACUGAGAAAUGCAGAAUAUCCAUUACAUCUGCAUUCUUAUUUUUAAAACUAUGUCCUUUGGCCGGGCACGGUGGCUCACACCUGUAAUCCCAGCACUUUGGGAGGCCGAGGAGGGCAGAUCAUGAGGUCAGGAGAUUGAGAUCAUCAUGGCUAACAUGGUAAAACCCUGUCUCUACUAAAACUACAAAAAAUUAGCCAGGCGUGGUGGUGGGCACCUGUAGUCCCAGCUACUCAGGAGGCUGAGGCAGGAGAAUGGUGUGAACCCGGGAGGUGGAGCUUGCAGUGAGACAAGAUUGCGCCACUGCACUCUGGCCUGCUGACAGAGCGAGACUCCAUCUCAAAAAACAAACAAACAAAAAACUAUGUCCUUUAUAAUGUGACUGCAAUUAGAAAAAAUAUUUUAAAAUGUUUAUGAAGCAUAUAUAGAUUUUAAUUCAAAGUCAGUAUUAUUUGGAAUCUGUUAAAUAUGAUCACCACUCUUCUGCUAGCCAUUAACCCCUAGAAAAUGUCACUGGUUUGACAGCUAAAAAUUUUUAAAGGGAAUUUCAACUUUUUAAAAUGCAAUUCUCCUUUUGUGAAAUGUAGUUAACCCGUAUUUCUCUAUAAGGCUCAUUGACACUUAUACCAUACUGCCAUACUGUUGCUUUUUAUGGAAUGACGUGCCAGAAGAUAUGGCUAAAUCACACAGAUGCUUGAUAAAAGGAGUUCAAUCCACUACUUCUAUUUGUCUUACUCUAAUUCUGUCUUUACAAUUAAAGAUCAUGACAUAAUUUCAUAUUAAUGUACUCAAGUUUAUAAAUGUAACUUGUAAAAUUAAAAACAAUUAAAAUUAUGUCUUAUUUGCAACACUGAAAAUUAUUAGCAUUAGACUUUUUGAUGCCAUAUAGAAUGAGAUAUAACUUGACAUUCUUAGGUUAAAUACAUUAUUUAAUAUAUUUUGUGCUUUAGUAUCUGACUUGGGCAUUGAGGAAGGCACUUAAGCCCUAUUUGUGGUGCAUUUGUUUUCUUUAACUAUCCCCAAAAUGUCAGAAAUGAAAAGAAUCUCAAAAAUCUUCUAGCCCACGAACAUUUACUUCUCUUAAGCAAUAACAACUUUCUUCAAACUCUGUCUUUCAUAGAAACAUAUAUACAAUAGAAAGUAGAUUUUUAUUAAUUUUAAUACUUUGGAGUAUAUAUUUUAUUAUGAAACAGACAAGUGAAAAUCAUGAAAUAAUUUAAUCUUAACAUCAAACUUUUGAAGUGUUUUUGAGUAGUAAAAAACAUAAUUAAGGGAAGAUUACAUAAAGCCUUGCAGGACAUAGUGAAGAAUUUGGCUUUUACUUUUAUUGUAAUGAGGAAUUAUAGUGGUCAGACUUAAAGACAGUCCCAAUUAUUUCUGACUCCUGGUGUCCUUGAAUGUGUGUGGAGAUUAUUUGUUUCAUGAUUUUCUUCUAAACAACAGAAAACAACAAAAUUGUUGACUGUUAUUAUGAAUUUUACCUGUAAUUGUAACAUCUGUCUUGCUAGUAGCCUUUCUCUCUUGUCGAAGGGUGAUGAAGCAACUUAUUGUGGCAGAGAGGCCCCCUUGACAGGGAAACGGGUGAUCUCCAGCCAGCAGACAUCCAGCAACUGAAAGAGGCACAAGGCUGAAAUUCAUCCAGUGACUGUGGUUCUUAUUUAUGCAACUCUCAAGGAACUUAAUGCCACCAACCAUCACAUGAACUCGCAAUGCGAUCGUUCCCUCAUCAGGUCUUGAGAUGGAAUUGCACCCUUCGUCUCAAGAUGCUGUAAUAAAGGAGUUGGCUGAGGGUUCAGUUUAAUCUCAAGGAUCCAGUUUCUGCAGUUUGACCUCAAGGACUGCACUUUCAGCAGAGGACCUAGCUAGGCAGUGCUCAAACUCCUGACCCACAAAAAUAAUGAAUGUGACAUAAAUAAGGGUGUGUUGCUUACAGCCACUAUAUUUGUAGGCAUUUUUUACACAACAAUAUAUAUCUAAUACAGAAGUAUUACAGGGUUUUAGCAGAGAGUCAUCCGUGUUUUAAUUACAUAGUGAAUUAAUCACUCUGGUUGCAUUUUGCACUAUAAGCUCUAUGUGGAAGACAGGAGAUCAACUGGAGCUCUGAUGCAAGAAUUUGAAAGUGGCUUACAAUAAUUCAUAGAAGAGCAGUGCAAGUGUCUAGAAAUGGCUAAAUUCUAGAUGGAUUUGAAGGAGGAGCUGAAAGGAUUUAGGAAUAUAUUAAAUUAUAUGUGUGUGAGGAAGUGAGGAAUCAAAUUUUUAGUGCAUAGGUAAGUAGAAAGAUGACAGUUGUUAUUAGCAGAGAUGGAUGAAUUAUAAAGAGAGCACACGCAAAGAGCAGCAUGGUAGAUUAAAAUUCUAGUAUUUAACAUAUUAAGUUUUAUUCUUUUUCUUUAGGUGUCUAGUGGAGAAGUCAAGUAGCUAGGCAGAUAUACAUGCCUAGAAUUCAGAAGAAAAGUCCAGAUUGGCAAUAUAAAUUUGGAAGCUGUAAAUGCAUAAUGAUAAUUAAAGCCUUAGUACUAAAUGAGAGAUAAUCAAGAAAGAGCACUCGAUAAUAAAAAAUAAACUAUCUAAAAAUGAAACUUGGACCCUUUGAAUUUCAUGGCCAUAAAGAAGAGAAAUUGCCAAUAAAAGAAGCUAAAGAGGAAUGUCUAUAAAGCAAGUAAGGUGUUUGUAGGCCGUUAUCAAUGUCUAAAAUAUUCUGUUGGAGUAAGCCUGGAAAAUGUUAACAAUUAAACGUUGGGUUUUCAACACAGAAGUCAUUGGUGGCCUAAAGAGGAGUAGUUCUGAUGAUACGGUGGGGAUGAAGUUUAAUUGGAUAGAGAUUGUGAGUAAAUGAGAUACGGAAAAUUGGGUAUAGGAUUACAGACAAACGUUGAUAAAGAGGAGUAGAAAAAAGGAUUGACAACUAAAUGUAGAAACUAGACUGAAGAGUGUUCUUUUUAUUUCUUAAAGAAGGGAUGGAUAAUAGAAUAUUAAUAUGCUUAUGUAGAAAAUUAAAUAUACAAAAUACAAAAAGAGAGAGAGUAUAAUUUCUAAGAAUCCAACUAAUAGUUAUAUUUUCCAGCCCUAGACUUCCUGAUGCAUUGCCAAUCUUGUCGAAUUCACUGUUAAUAUAGUUUUGUCUCCUUUCUAUUGGUUGCUUCCUAACUUUAAUUAAUUAAUUCAUUAAUUUCAGACAGGGUCUCACUCUGUCACCCAUGCUGGAGUGCAGUGGCACAAUCUCAGCUCACUACAACCUCCACAUUCCAGGCUCAAGCAAUCCUCCCACCUCAGCCUCCAGAGCAGCUGGGGCUACAGGCUUGGGUCCCCAUGCCCAGAUAAUUUUUUGUAUUUUUAGUAGGGAUGAGUUUUUGCCAUAUUGCCCGGGCUGGUCUCGAACUACUGGCCUCAAGCGAUCUGCCUGCGUUGGCCUCUUACAGUGCUGGAAUUAUAGGCAUAAGCCAUCACUCCAAGCCUGCUUCCUGACUUUAAACUUCACUCUUUCUUGUAUGGACUACUAAAGAAGACUAACACACCAUUUAAGAACAUGCUUCCACUGGUGUAUCUGCCACUGGGGUUUCCCAAUCAUUGUGUGAUGCUCAUUUAUGUGUGGUUUUAAUCAUUCAUGUACUCUGCUUCUGACUAUCCUAUUUCAGUUUCCUAUGAAACCUGUCCUUGUUUAUUUUUUUCUUUCUUCAAACAAUUUUUAUGCAGCAGCAUAUUAUUUGGGAAUUUUACAUCAUCCAGCCAUCUUCAUGAUAUAAAUAAAAAAGGCAAGGAGUAGGAAAUGAACCAUCUUAUACAGAACAUUAAUUUUUCUUGCAUAUUAAUUUUGCUGAGUAAAUUGGGCUUUGAAUUAGUACAUAUUGUUCUUUAUGAAAUCCUAUUAUAUAGAUGAUUAUCUGAGCCUUUUCUUCAGGGUACACUGAAGAAUACACUCUUCUAUAGUGACUUACCUGAUGGAAAUUUUGUUACCUAGUUUUGAUAUUACUAAAAUUUUUUAAACCUGUGUGUUUGGUACACUCAUGUAUGCAUUUAAUUGUAACUGAAGUAGUAUUCAGGUGUAUUCAUUGAGAAAAAAUUCUUACCCUUGAGAAGGAUUGGAUUGUUAAAUUUUUAAAAAGAGUUAGAAAAAAUCUUUGGCUUGUACAAUGUUACUCUCUAGGUUUUUGAGGAAAUUUAAGACAAAUGGAAUGGAUUGUUUAUAUCAUCAGAGAUUAUUUAUAGCAUCAGAGAUAUAAUUUUGCUUAGAUCUUUAACAUCUUACUGGACAUUUCUAUUUAAAUGUGAUAACAGUAAUAACCAAUACAUGUGAUGCUUUUAUUUACACAUUACAAGGACAGGCACUGCUCUACACCUGUUACACAAUUUAAAUUACAUACUGUUUACUAGAUAUCUACGAGUUGAGAGCUAUUUGUAUCUUCAUUUAAUUCAUGAGGAUACUUGUAUAAAAAUAAAAAAAAAUCUUGUCCAAAAUGACACAGAGUGUAAGAGUUGAUACCUGAAUUAGAAUCCAUGGAGUCUAGAUCCACAUCAUCGUAUUAUUCUGCCUUUCUAAAGAAGGAAUGAAAGAAAACAGGGAUCAGCUCAUGUAACAGAAGUCAGGGGAAAGCACUUUCCAAAGAUUCGAACCCCAGCAAUAAAACAAGAGAAUACUCUUUCUCAAAUACACUGCCUUUUUAUUAGGGUUGCUUCUUUUAGUAUAUUUAUCUUAUUAUGUACUACUCAAGAAUACCUUCCUCUAAAUUAAUUAAUGAAAACAUACUUAUUCUAAUGAAGGAGCAUUCUAGAGAAAGAUUUUCACUGGUCUGGCUUUGGUAGUCACCAUUAUCUGGGGCAUUUAUUCACACACAUAUCUCAAAUAUAGGGCUGGGAGACAGUGUGGCUUUGGUUGGCUUUCCCCCGUACCCAUAUUUACGCGGGAGACUAGCAGUUCCAGCAAAGAGAGGUGGAGACACAGGUGUGCAUAGAGGAAAAUAUAAACAUGUGGUACCCAAAACAUUAAAUGACAACAGUCAUUUAAUGGCUAAAAUGUGUGCAAGUACGGAUUCCAAAAUCAACUGUGUGAUUCUCAAAGAGUUGGACAUUAUUAAAGGUAAUCAUUCUAAACAACUUUACUCUCAGGGACUUCCUUACUUUAUUUUUCUUCCUCUUUGAGUGAGGAUAAUGGAGGGUAGAGAAAAAGGUUACUGGCAUUCACCAUUAACUCCAAGCUUCCUUAGGCUCCUAGAUAAUCACUUCCUUUGUGGUCAGACAAACCCUACUCCUCUGAAGUUCAUUCCACUGUACUGAGUCCUUCUCACCAUCCUGAUUGCAAUCAUCUCACCACAUCUUGGCCUUUCUGCCUCAUUUUUCCAAAACAUUAGCACCAAGACCUCAGUUUUCUUUCCAACCUGUGUUUUAAAAGCAUUCCUAGAUACUUUAAAUUCCUCCCAUGCAGAUGCAGAUGUCUGAAACACCACCAAAUCCUCUCAUUUACUUAAACUAUUGAUCUCUAUUUAAAAUUCUCUACACUUCACCUUACUCAGAAGCUUGUAUGUUUAUACCUGGAAUAUCUAAUCACCAUAAAAUACGCUGCUUUGAAAAUCAUUAAUUCAGUGCCUUAAUGUAAUGAACCAGUCUUCUACAUCACUUCAUUAGGCAAUCUCAUUACAACCAUUAUUUAAUUUCACUGCAUACAUUUGCUUUUAUCUUACCCCAAAUUUAGUUUCAAUAAACUAUAAACAAUACCAAUUUAUUUAGCUCAUAAAUAAACAAUACCAAUUUAUUUAGCUCAAAACUGUGGUCCUAGGUUGGGGGUUUUCAACUGGUCCCCCUCAUGUCUCUGUGGACAACUCUCGGGUUACCUGAGGAUUGGCUGGUGAUAUAGUUUGAAUACAUAUUUCUGCCAAAUCUUGUGUUGAAUUGUAAUCCCCAGUAUUGAAGGUGGGGCCUGGGGGAAGGUGACUGGAUCACAGUAGCACACCCCUCAUGUCUUGGUGUUGUCCUCACAAUAGUGAGUGACUUCUCACAAGAUCUAGCUGUUUAAAAGUGUGUGGCACUGGCCGGGCGUGGUGGCUCACGUCUGUAAUCCCAGCAUUUUGGAAGGCUGAGGCGGGCGGAUCAUGAGGUCUAGAGAUCUAGACCAUCCUGACCAACAUGAUGAAACCUCAUCUCUACUUAAAAUACAAAAAUUAGCUGGGCGUGGUGGCAUGCGCCGGUAGUCCAAGCUAUUCGGGAGGCAGAGGCAGGAGAAUUGCUUGAACCCAGGAGGUAGAGGUUACACUGAGCCAGGAUCACACCACUGCACUCCAGCCUGGGAGACAGGGCGAGACUCCAUCUGAAAAAAAAAAAUGUGUGUGGCACCUCUCCCCAUACUUGCUCUUGCUUUUGCUAUGUGUCAUGCUGGCUUAUGCUUUGCCUUCCACCAUGAGUAAAAACUCCCUGAGGUCCCUGAUCCCCACAGCCUCCCAUUAGCUGGGCAGACGUCAAGACCAUGUUUCCUUUGCAUCCUAAAGAACUGUGAGCCAAGUAAGCCUCUUUUAUUUAUAGAUUUCCAAGCCUCAGAUCUUUAUUUACAACAAUGCAAGAAUGACCUAAUACAGAAAAGUGGUAUUAAGAGUGGAUUAUUGCUAUAAAAUACCUGAAAAUGUGGAGCAGCUUGGAACUGAGUAACAGGCAGAGGUUAGAAGAGUUUGGAGAGCUCAGAAGAAAACAGGAAGAUGAGGGAGAGUUUGGAACUUCUUAGAGACUGGUUAAAUGGUUGUGACCAAAAUGCUAAUAGUGAUAUCAGCAAUGAAGUCCAGGAUAACGAGGUCUCAGAAGGAAAUGAGAAACUUAUUGGAAACUGGAACAAAGGUCAUACACAUUAUGCCUUAGCAAAUAGCUUAGCAUCAUUGUUUCCCUAUCCUAGGGAUCUACAGAAAUUUAAACUUGAGACUUAUGAUUUAGGGUACAAGAAAUUUCUAAGCAGCAAGUCAUUCAAGGGGUGACUUGGCUGCUUCUAAUAGCCUAUUCUCAGAUGCAAGAGCUUAAAGUUAUAAUUUAUACUUAAAAGGGGAACAGAGUAUAAAAGUUUGAAGGGGAGGAGUUGCCCAGGCCUCAGGAGCCCACCAUUCACCCCAGUGUGACCUGGAUGCACAAUAUGGAGUUAAAGGAGAUUAUUUUGGAGCUUUAAGAUUUAAUGACUGUUCUGUUGGGUUUUUGAAUUGCAUGAGCAUGUAGCUUCUUUUUUUUGGUUGAUUUCUCCCUUUUGGAAUGGGAAUAUUUACCCAAUGCCUAUACCUCCAUUGUCUCUUUGGAGUAAAUAAUUUGUUUGACUUUACAGGCUCCUAAGUGGAAGAAAUUCAUCUUCAGAUGAAACUUUGUACCUGGACCUGAGACAUUAGAGUUAAUGCUGGAAUGAGUUAAGAUUUUGAGGGACUGCUGAGAAGGGAUAAUUGUAUUUUGCAAUGUGAGAAGAACAUGAGACUUAAAGAACCAAGAGCAGAAUUAUAUAGUUGUAAAAUACAUCCCCACCAAAUCUCCUGCUGAAUUGUAAUCUUCAUGUUGGAGGUAGGGCCUAGUGAGAGAUGGUUGGAUCAUAGGGGUGGAUCCUUCAUGGCUUGGGGCUGUUCUUGUGAUAGUGAGUGAGUUCUUGUGAGAUGUGGUUGUUUAAUUGUGUGUAGCACCUCCCUUCUCCACUUGCUUUUACUUUCAUCAUGUGACUUGGUGGCUCUUGCUUUGCUAUCCACCAUAGGCAAAAUCUCCCUGAGAUUUCUGCUCCCUGUGGCCCCCCAAAAGGUGAACAGAUGUCAGUGCUAUGUUUCUCAUGCAGCCUGCAGAACCGCGAGCCAAUUAUACCUCUUUUCUGUAUAGAUUAUCCAGCCUCAGAUAUUUCUUUAUAGCAAUGCAAGAAUGACCUACUAUAGCUGGCAUCAGAUGGUCUCAACUGAGCUAGCUCGUCUCUGCUACAUAUAGUCUUUCAUCCUCCAGGCUUUUUCUCAUAAUGACUGGGAAGGAUUCCAAGAGAGCCAGCAGGAGCUUGUAAGGGUGUCUGAGGUCUAAACAUAGUUCUGACACAAAGUCAUUUCUGCUCAAUCUAAUUUUUCAGAGUUAGUCGUAAGUAUUGACAGGAGACAUGGUAAAGUUGCAUUGCAAAUAGAUAUGAAUUGUAGGAAGGGAAUAAUUAUAGCAAUUUAUUUCAGGAAAAUAAUAGAUUUAUCAUUGUCAGUCCUCCAAAUCUAAUCAUUUACAUCCCUCUUCUUCACCUCCUCCCAAGACCACCAAAUCUCCAAAUCUCCUCUGAUCAAUGGUGUUAUGUUUGACAACCAGGACCUCAACCAUCAAUAAGAGAUAUAUAAGUGGUCCCUCUUGAUUAAGGUGCCUAUGAACAAAGAUUAACAAGCCAGCCUUCCUCUACAUAUGCAAAGUACACUGGAGAGACAAGGAGAGGAUAUGCAGGAGAUACUCUCAUAUAACAUUAUAUACAUAUAAUGUGUAUGUGUGUGUAUAUAUAUACACACGAUAUGUAUGUACACACAUUAUAUGUAUAUACACAAUGUAUGUGCGUAUACACAUAUAUAUAGUGUGUGUGUAUAUAUCUGUUGUGCGUGUAUAUGUGUAUAUGUGUAUACACGUUGUGUAUGUGUGUAUAUGCACACGUACAACAGCCACUGGUCUACAGCAAUGACUGAAAUUCCAACGGGAAAAUGUUGCCAGCUUCUCCAAGACCAGACCAGAAUGUUUGUUCAUUAGAACUCAGUUCUGUUCCCUGGGAAAAGCUCUCCAGGCUAUUGCUUUUUAAUGCUUCUUGGGAACAACUUCAUAAUCCACUGGUCUGUAAAGUUUUCUGGGAGUGGCUCCUUAAUGCAUUGUUCUUCAUGCUUCUCUCCAUGAUCCUCAGCUCGACACCCUGAAAUAUUGUGUUAUUUUCUCAAAGUAAUGAUCUGUGUUUGUAUGGUGAUAACUAUUGAUGAGUUGGUAGAUGAUUCUGUAUGUUUGUGUGUGAGUAGCCUGCUUUAUGUUCACAUAAAGUUAAAAUGCCAGAAGCCUUUCUUGUAAUUUGAGCUGUCUCAGUCACUUUUAAUCUAAGUUACCAGUGUUUUCAGCCGCAUACUUUUCUAACAAUUUUGGAUGUUUUUUGAGGUUGAGUAAACUUCAUUACCAAAAUUUACAUAACAUUUUAAUUCUAGACAGGUAGAUGCCAAUGCAUUUAUUUAGAAGAAACAUACCAUUCAGCUCUUGGUUUUAUCUUUGUCCAUAGGGCUUGUUUCACUUCAAAAUCUGUAAUUAUCUGUGAAUCCUACAUGCUAAACAAAGUUUAUUUUCCAAUAUAACACAACUGGUCCUAUAUAUUUUCUGUAAAUUCUUUUUUAAAACAUUAAUUCUUUCUAUAACUCACCUUUUUCAGUGACUUAACAGUGACAGCUAGGUACUCAGGUGACACAUUCAAAAAUAUGCCUAGAUCUGUCUUUAGCUAAGUCCAAAGAUCUUUUAGUGCACUUUAUAUCUUCUAAAUUAAUUUAGGUGGUAGUUUUGACAAUUGUUCCACUAAUACAGAUGUCAUUUUUCCAGACUCCAGUUAUACUAUAUUCAUUAAUUCUGCAGUCUUUGCUAAAAAUAUAUCAUUUUUCAAGCUCUACAUGCCACUUGGUCUUAAAGCUAGUUUUACUUUGAAAUAGGAGAGGUCCCCAGAUGAUCUUGGCCUUGUCAGUUCUUUCCUCUCUGCUUGUAGCUCUCAGAAUAUCUGCAAAUGCAAUAUCCUGAGAUAAGGAAGAAAUGUCUAGAACAGCCUGCGCUGUGUCCUCAUGUCUACCAAAACAAAUUGUCCUGCAAUACUUUAACUCAGUGAUCCUUGUUGUGCCUGGUAUAUAAAAUCCAAUAUGGAAUGCUUUUGGUGUCUCUCAGCUGCUGUGCAAUGUGGUGCAUGCACAGACAGCACUCCACCUGCCCUGGGCAGCUUUCCUGAUUCUUUUUUUUUUUUUUAAUUAUUAUUAUUAUACUUUAAGUUUUAGGGUACAUGUGCACAACGUGCAGGUUUGUUACAUAUGUAUACAUGUGCCAUGUUGGUGUGCUGCACCCAUUAACUCGUCAUUUAGCAUUAGGUAUAUCUCUUAAUGCUAUCCCUCCCCCCUCCCCACACCCCACAACAGUCCCCUGUGUGUGACGUUCCCCUUCCUGUGUCUUGAUUCUUAAAAGACCGGUUCUCCAUGAAUCCUACACUUCUAUUUAUCCUUGCUGCCUGUCUGCUUUGCCUGACUUGUGUGAAUGUUCUGUAUCCCCAGACUCAAAUGGUAGAAAACCUUUGCACACAUUUUUUAGGAUUUUAUUAUGGCAAGGCCACAGUUCUAAUACUUGACUUGUAGCAUGAGAAAACUUCUACUAUGGAAAACAAGCCAGAAUAAUACCAAAAAAUGAGGUAAUGACUGCUUAGGCGAACUUAAGAAACGCUUCCCAUUAAUUCGUUACUGUCAAACUGAAAGAGAUACUUCCAGUGACACACUAAAAGCUUGAUUUAUGGCACUAAUAUAUUAGACAUUUACCUUCAGUGACAUUAAGAGAAGCAUAUCGAUUAAACUGUAUGAAUAAUUUGAUGUUAAGACAGGAUUAAUACAAGUAACAAAAUAAACUUUCCAAAUGAUGUUAAUAUACUGUUAUGAACAACAUGAAUUUAAAAGGAUAGCCAUACACAACUCUACAGCCAUGUACAACUCUACAGGAAAACAAAACAAAAAUUAAAAACAAAAGAUGUAACACAUACACCCACAAACCAACUGCAUAACCACAUCCUCUUCACUGUGUAACUUAGAAGAUCAGGUAUAAAAAGGAACAUAGGGCUAUGUUUCUAAAAUAUUUUCAUAUGACAAAAUUAUUACUUAAUUUUGAGGUCCUUGAUGUAUGUUAGUAUAAUAAAGACUGAGUAAUUAUUGUUAUAAAGACAUCUAAUAUUCUUUGUGUGUGUGUUUAAGAUUUCCUCAUGUAUAUUUAAAUGUAGAGCAGUUCCUUUUUGUCUGGGACAUAUCUAUUGGUGUCUGUUUCAGUCUUAAUUUACUGAAAGAGCUCUUCUUGGUUACAUAUUGAUUAUUUUGCAUUGGUUUAUUUUUGUGUAUAUUUUGACUUAGGAGCUUUUAAUCUUUGCUACUCUUCAGAGUUUAAUAAACAGGUUUGUUUUUAUCAAAUAAAAUGAGUAAAUAAGAGGGCACCAAUUUUACACAAUUGUUUGGAAGUAAUAGUGUCAGAAUCUGACAAUCUCAUGACAACAUUUAAGUAUGUGCACUAUGAAAGAAUAAUUGUAAUGUCCUUGAAAGUGGAAUAUUUGUAUACUAUUAUUUACUGCAGGCCCUGAUAUAAUGUGAAAAUGACAACAGGUGCUAGAUAAAUAUUUGUAAUGUUAGUGAUCUUUAAUAUUGGCACUUUCCAAAUUGAAAUUACAGUUUUAUUUCAAUAAUAUUAUGAGAGGUUUUUAAAACACAAGGAAAAGGAAAGAUCUUUCAUGUUUAUAGAUCAGAAAAAGUAAUAUUGUUAAAAUGUUCAUAAUACCCAAACUGAAUCAUUGAUUCAAUGCAAUUCCUAUCUUCCAAUGACAUUUUCAAAAGAAUUAGAAAAGGAAGUCAUAAUUAAUUUGUAUGAAACUACAAAAGACACUGAGUAACCAAAGCUUUCUUGAGUUAAAAGAACAAAGCUGGAGAUAUCACACUACCUGAAUUUGAAAUGUACUACAAAGCUAUGGUAAUUAAAACAGCAUGAUAUUGGCAUAAAAUCAGACACAUUGAUCAAUGUAAGAAGAUAGAGAGCCCACAAAUAAAGUCACAGACUUAAAGUUAACAGACUUUUUACAAAGGUGACAAGAAGAACACACAAUGGAAGAAAUGGAGAAAAGGAAGUCUUUUUAAUAAAUGGUGCUGGCAAAGCUGGGUAUCCACAUUCAGAGAAUAAAAUUAGAUCCUUAUUUCACACCGCAUAAAACAAUAAACUCGGCCAGAUGCAGGCUUAUGCCUGUAAUCCCAGCACUUUGGGAGGCCGAGGUGGGCAGAUCACCUGAGAUUGGGAGUUCAAGACCAGCCUGACCAACAUGGAGAAACCCCGUCUCUACUAAAAAUACAAAACUUAGCUGGGCAUGGUGGUACAUGCCUGUAAUCUCAGCUACUCAGGAGGUUGUGGCAGGAUAAUCAUUUGAGCCCGGGAGUCAGAGGUUGCAGUGAGCUGAGAUCACGCCAUUGCACUCCAGGCUGGCCAACAAGAGUGAAACUCUGUCUCAAAAAAAAAAAAAAAAAAAAAAAAACCUACUCAAAAUGGAUUAAAGACUUAAACAUAAAACUUGAAACUGCAAAAUCAUUGGAACAAAACAUAUAAUAAAGCUUCAUAACAUUAAUCUGGACAAUACUUUUUUUGAAUAUGCAUUCUAAAGCAAAAAGCCAAAAGCAAAAAUAGACAAAUGAGAUGACAUCAAACUAAAAAGCUUCUGCAAAGCCAAGGAAACCAUCAAUAGAGUAAAGAACCAAUCUACAGAAUGAGAUAACACACUUGCAAGCCAUGACUUUCACAAGAGAUUAUUAUUUUAAAAUAUAUAAGAAACUCAAAUAACACAAUAACAAGUAAACAAAUAAUCUUAUUAAAAAUUGGGCAAAAGAUCUGAAUAGACAUUUCUCAAUAGAAGAUGUACAAGUAGCCAAAAGGUAUAUAAAAAUGAUCAAUAUUACUAAUUAUCAGGAAAAUGCAAAUUGAAAGCACAGUAAGAUAUCACCUCACACCUGCUAGAAUGGCUGUUAUCAAAAAGACAAAAGAUAACAAGUGUUGGCAAAGAUUUGGAGAAAAGGGAACUGUUUUAUACUGCUGUUGGGAAUGUAAGUUCACACAGCCAUUAUGAAAGAAAAUGUAUGUAAGUUCCUCAGAAAAUUAAAAGUAAGACUACCAUAUUAUCCAGCAAAUUGACUACUGAAUUUAUAUUCAAAGGAAAUGAAAUUGAUAUGUCAAAGAGAUAUCUAUCCUCUCAUUUGUAUUGCAGUAGUAUUGGUCCAUUUUCAUGCUGCUGAUAAAGCCAUAUCUGAGACUUGGAAGAAAAAGAGGCUUAGUGGACUUACAGUUCCACAUGGCUGGGGAGGCAUUACAAUCAUGGUGGAAGGCAAGGAAAAGCAAGUCACAUCUUACAUGGAUGUCAGCAGGCAAAAAAAAAAAAAAAAGAGAGAGAGAGAGAGAGCUUGUGCAGGGAAACUCCUGUUUUUUAAAACCAUCAGAACUCGUGAGACUUAUUCACUACCAUGAGAAGAGUCCAGGGGAAACUGCCCCCAUGAUUCAAUAUCUCCCACCAGGCCUUUCUUACAACAUGGAGCAUUUAUGAGAGAACAAGUCAAGAUGAGAUGUGGGUGGGGACAUAGAGCCAAACCAUAUCAACUGACAAUAGUCAAGAUAUGGAAUCAACCUAAGUGUCCAUUAAUGAAUGAAUGAGUAAAGAAAAUUGGGUGAAUAUACACAAUGGAAUAUCACUCAGCCUUAAAAAGAAGAAAAUUCUUUCAUUUGGGACAAAAUCAAUGAACCUAGAGGACAUUAUAUUAAAUGAAAUAAGCCAGGCACAGGAAGAUAAAUGCCACAUGAUCUCACCUAUAUGUAGAAUGUAAAAAAAAAUAAAAUGAAUUUUGGAAGUGGAAAGCAGAAUAGUGGCUACCCGCAGAUUAGGGUUAGAAGUGACUAUUAGGUGUUCAUCAAAGGAUAUAAAAUUUCAGUUAGAUGAAAGAAAUAUGUUAAAGACAUCCAUUGUACAACAUGGUAAAUAUAAUUAAUAAGAAUGUAUUAUAUUUUUAAAAAUUGCUACAGUAUAGAUUUUAAUUGUUCUCACCACAAAGUAAGUUUGUCUGGUAAUACAUAUGUUAAUUACUUCAACUUAGUCACUUCACAAUAUAUACCUGUUUUAAACAACAUGUUUUAUAUAGUAAGUAUAUACCAUUUUUUGUCCAUUAAAAAUAAAUGUUUAUUGGCUACUUGUAUUUCUUCUUUUGAGAAUUUGUCAUCAGUUACCCACUUUUUAAUGGAGUUAUUUGGUUUUUUUCUCACUGAGUUGUUUGAGUUCCUUUUAGAUUCUGGAUAUUAGGAAUUUGUCAAAUGCAUAGCUUGCAAAUAUUUUCUCCCAUUCUGUAAGCUUUCUGUUUACUCUGUUGUUUCUUUUACUAUACAGAAGUUUUUAGUUAAUGAAAUCCCAUUUGUCUAUUUUUGUUUUGUUGCAUUUGCUUUUGAGGUCUUAGUCAUAAAUUCUUUGCCUAGGCUGAUGUCUGGAAGACCUUUUCUUAGGUUUUCUGUAGACUUUUAUAGUAUCAGGUCUUCCAUUUAAUUAUUUAAUCUAUCUUGAGUUAAUUUUUAUAUGUUGUAAGAGGGGUCCAGUUUUAUUCUUCUGUGUAUGAAAAUUUGAUUUUUCCUUGUAUCAGUUAUUAAAUAGAAUUCCCUGUUUCCAUUGUAUAUUUUUUGUUGAUUUCUUUCAAAUAUCAGUUGGUUGUAUGGAUGUGGCUUUAUUUCUGGGCUCUCUAUUCAUUUCCAUUGAUUUAUGUGUCUAUCUUAUACCAGUACCAUGCUAUUUUGGUAACUAUAGCCUUAUAGUAUAAUUUGAAGUCAGGCUCAAAGAACUGAAAAUUGAACUACCAUUAAACUCAGCAAUCCCAAUAACUAGCUAUCUAUUCAAAGGAAAACGAAGUGUUCUGUCAAAAAAUACCUACACUCAUGUUUAUCACAGAAUGAUUCAUAAAAUCAAAAUCAUGGAAUCAACCUAAGUGUUCAGUGCAGAUGACUGGAUGAGGAAAAUGUGGGAUAUAUACACCAUGGAAUACUAUGCAGCCAUACAAAUAAUGAAAUCAUGCUUUCUACAGCAAUAGACAUGGAGCUGGAGGCCAUUAUCCUAAGUGAAACAAUUCAGAAACAGAAAACAAAUACAACCUGUUCUUACUUAUAAGUAGAAGCUAAACAAUGGGUGCACAUGGACAUAACAUGGAAAUAAUAGUCCUGGGGAUUCAAAAAGGGGAGAGGGUUGGAAGCAGGUGAAUGUUGAAAAAUUACCUAUUGGGAAAAAUGUUCACUAAUUAGGUGAUGGAGCCCAAACCCACCAUUAUGCAAUAUAUUCAUGUAACAAACCUGUACACAUACCUGCUGAAUCUAUAAAAGUUUUUAAAAAUAAAAUAAAAUUAAAAUCAAUAAAUCAAUACAAGCUAUUUUGAUAGCUACUUUAUCAAAUGACUUUCCAGAUUAAUUUUCUACCUUUAUAUGAGAUGUCAAAAAUAAUUUUCUUUUUUUUUAUAUCUGCAUGUUCUAUAGUGUUACUUCUGGCUCCUUACAAUCUAUUACAAUCUUAGUUCUAUCACCAUUCAUUUCAAUUAGAAGUCUGUGUGCCUUUUCUUGGCAAAUUAAAAAGAAAAAAUUCCAUUUGUGUAGAUUACAAAGUUUUCUGAAUGUAAACUAGAAAGAUGUUUGAAUAUUACCUCCAAUAUCUAUUAUUGAACAUCUGAAAUUAUCUAGGUGGUAACAUGUGUGCAUACAUAAGAUAUGUGUCUUGAAAUAUAGUUUAUGGUAUUUUUAGCCUGUCACCAUAAAAGCAUAUUUAGAACCAAAACCAAAAUACAUUACAAGUGAAAACAAGACUGAAAACACCUGAUUUCUCAAGUGUUUUUGAAUGUUUGUGUAGCCCACAAAAAUAACUAUGAAGAAGUAAAAUGGCUUGCUUAUAUUCACAUGGGACUUACACUACAUCUUAUAGUGAUUGUGAAAGAAAUAUUUAAUAAUAUAUUCACUUUCAAGGAAAAUAGGUAAUAACUGCUCUAUUUACCAGGGUUUAUUUAUUUUUAAAUAGAUUUAUGUAUUUAUUCGUUUAUUUUAUUUGAGACAAGGUCUCAUUCUUUUGCCCAGGUUGUAGUGCAGUGGCACUAUCUCUUCUCACUGCAACCUCCACUUCCUGAGCUUGAGUGAUCCUCCCACCUCAGCCUUCUGAGUAGUUAAGACUACAGGUGUGGACCGCCACGCCUGGCUAAUUUUUGUACUUUUGUUAAGAUAAAGUCUCCCUAUGUUGCCCAGGUAAUCUGAACUCCUGGGCUAAAGUGAUCUGCUUGCCUCAGCUUCCCAAAGUGUAGGAUUUACAGAUACUAGCCACUGUGCCAUGUUUAUUCACAAAGAAAAAUAUUGAAUAAGAAAAUCCAUGGAAUACCCAGUUUCAAGAUUCUCAUGCAAAUUUAACCAGUAAGCAAGCUAGAAAACACUAAACAACAUCAAUUUCUCCUUGUGAUAGGGACAGGGGGAAGAAAAUUUUUUUUCUAGGCAAAAAAGAGUGGGUCUCCAAUGAAACUCCACCCUCAAGCUGAAGAGCCUAAAACCACUGCCCAAAUUGAGAACUUAUAUUCCUGUCUUCUCACUCAAAUGUUGCCUUUUUCUAAACCACCCAUGACCAUACCCCACCACAUCCUGUGCCUAUAAAAACCCCAGAUUCAGCCAGUAGAUGGGACUACAGCUGGAUGCCAGAGAUAAACAGCUUGAUUUCAGAGGGACAGCUUAAUGGCAUAACUUCUGAGAAGAAUCCAGCUGGAGAUGACCAGACAUCAGGGGAAGAAUACCUUCCCACCUCAUCCCCUUUUCAGCUUCCCUUCCCACUGAGAACCACUUUCAGCAGCAAUAAAAUCCCCCACAUUUACCAUCCUUCAACUUAUUAAUAUGACUUCAUUUUUCCUGGAUGCCAGACAAGAGCUCAGGAGUCACAAAUGCAGAUACAAAAGGCUGUCACUCUGGUCCUUUGCCCUCAUUGGCAGAGGGCAGCUGCAUCACACAAAAAGGCAAAGGGCACACUGAGCUGUUAACACUUAAGCCAUCAGUGGAUGGCAGAGCUAAAAGAGCACUGUAACGCACCCUUUGGGGCAUUGGGCAUCACAGGCACCCUGACCUGGAUGCUACCAUAGGGCCUACAUGGAGUUUGCUCCUGCCAGCACCCAAAACAGGCCAGUGGGAUCCCCUACUUGUGCUCCCUCCCACAAGGGAUUUGAGCAUGGCAAGCUGAGUAAACUGAGUUUGUUCCUGCCAGCACCGAAAAGCACUCGCUCUGGUUCCUACACCUACUCACCUGCGUGGUCCCUCCUGGAAGGGGUGGAAGGCAUCAGGUAAGAGUGAGUGGGGUUUGAUCCCCCUGGCACCGAAGCAGCUGGCAGGUUCCAGUGGUCAUUCACUCCAGUUCCUGCACUUGUUUGCUUACAUGCUCCCUCCCACAAGGAGUUUACACUGUCACGCUGAGUAAAUGAGGCAACCCUGUAGUGAGUCCCAAGAAGGGGUCAGGGAAAUAUCCUACUUCACAAGCAUGGUAAACAUAUAAUUUUAGAUAACUAAAAACAAAGGUAGAACUUAUUAAUUAUUUGAAAUAUUGCUCAUAUAUUAUUGUGCUAAUUACAUUUAGCAAACUUAGAGGUGUCUAUAAUACUUAUAAAUUAUAUAUAAUAUACCCACCUUUAAUUAGUAUUGGUAAAAUAUUAAGAAAAUAUUUACUUGAAAAAGGUAUAGUAUAUGAGUAUACUUAUAAUUUUUAUGUUCACAUAUUUUUGUAGUGAAAAUAGAAUUAUUUUUAAUAUAGACUUUUUUUCUCAUUAACAUAUCCAUCUAAUUUGGAGAUAUUUAAAAUACAGAAAAAUGCAAAGAUAAGAUGAGAGACACCCACAAACUAUACUAUAUUUACCUUUAAAAUUGUUAUUUAUUUUAUGGAAAACAAUGAGAAGCAUAUUUGAGCAUUUCCAAAUAUCUGCAACCAAAUAUCUUUCUCUUCUGGAGAAAACAUUAUUGAGAAAUUUUGGAGUAGUUUCUCUAAGUCUGUUUUUCUUUUGCUGUUGUUUGAUAAUACACCUAUAUUUAAUCAUAAAUAAUUUCAAGUGCUAUAAUAUUUGUUUUAAAAGUAUGUUUGUUUUAAAAUUUGAAAUGUUUAUACAUUUUAAAAUAAACAUCAUAGCACUUGAAACUUAUUUGUGACUAGACAUAGGUGUACUUUUCACUGUUUCUCAACAACAUACAUUCUUAAUCAACCUGCUAUCAGCAAUCAACAUUAUGUUUUCAAAAUCAUUAAUGCCACUCGCUUGAUAUUUUUCUUUGAUGCAUGAAAGUUAAUUUUGAUAAAGUCCAAUUUAUUAUUUCUUUAGUUACUUUUACUUGUGGCAUUAUACUCAAAGAAACAUCGCCAAUUCUAAGGUCAUGAAAUGGAUCCCUGUGUUUUAUUUUAAUAGUUCUCUAGUUUUAACUCACAUUUAGGUCUUUAUCUACUUUGAGUUUAUUUUUGUACUUGGUUUAAUGUAUGGAUCCAAUUUCAUUCUUUUGCAUAUCCAGUUGUUUCAACUGGAUUCAUAAACUUCAGUCUGUCAACUGACAGAUUUAUAAACUCAUGUAUCUUUGAUAAAUUGACUUUUAAUGAGGAUGACAAGACCAUUCAAUAGGAAAAGAACACAUGAACGAAUGAUGCUGAUGCAACUGGAUAACCAAAAACAAGUAAAAGCUAUACAAUUAAAAAGGAAAUAGCAGAACUAUCUCCAUUCAUAGUUUUCAUAAUUUUAAAAACACAACAUUCCCAUGAAUACACACAAACACACACACACAUACACACAAUCUUCGAGUUAACAUAGUCAGCACAGGUACAAUAUACAAGAUAAAUACACAAAAUGUGGAUAUCCAGUUGUCUCAGCAUCAUGUGUUAAUGUGUUCUUUUCCUAGUGAAUGGUCUUGGCACCCUUAUUACAAAUCAACUGACCACAGAUGCAUACAUUUAUUUCUCGACUCGCAAUUAUAUUUCACUGAUAAAUAUGCCUAUCCUUGUGCCAGUUCCACUGUUUGAAUUACUUGAGAUUUGUAGAAGGUUUGGAAAUUGAAAAGUGUUCAUCCUCCAAAUGUGUUCUUUUUCAAAAUCAUUUUGGCUACUCAGGGUACCUUGCAAUCUCAUAUGAAUUGUAGAAUUGACUUUACCGUUUCUGAAAACAAAAACCAUUGGGAUUUUGACAGGGUUUGCACUGAAUAUGUAGAUCACUUUGGGGAGUAUUUUCAUCUUAAUAUUAAUUAUUUAUAUUAAUAAAUGCAAGAUAUUUUUCAUUAUGUAGGUUCUUAAUUUAUUUCAACAGUGGUUUUUAGUUGUCAGCAUACACAUCUUUCUCC